UACGUAGGGUGCGAGCGUUAAUCGGAAUUACUGGGCGUAAAGCGUGCGCAGGCGGUUGAUUAAGACAGGCGUGAAAUCCCCGGGCUUAACCUGGGAACUGCGCUUGUGACUGGUCAGCUAGAGUACGGCAGAGGGGGGUGGAAUUCCACGUGUAGCAGUGAAAUGCGUAGAGAUGUGGAGGAACACCGAUGGCGAAGGCAGCCCCCUGGGCCGAUACUGACGCUCAUGCACGAAAGCGUGGGUAGCAAACAGG
rnacentral:rRNA from 1 species